GCCGGGCAUGGUGGUGCGUGCCUGUAGUCCCAGCUACUCAGGAGGCUGAGGCAGAAGAAUUGCUUGAACCUGGGAGAUGGAGGUUGCAGUGAGCUGAGACUGAGCCACUGCAUUCCAGCCUGGGUGACAGAGAGAGACUCUGUCUCAA
rnacentral:SRP_RNA from 1 species